rnacentral:lncRNA from 1 species
GGGGAAGUGGCUACAGGGGGGAAAAAUGUGUUACUAAAUGCUCUGUAUUUUGAAGGCUGAACUGAUAUCAGCGGACCACAGUGACAAAUUAGGUGAUGUGUGAUGGGGGCGGUCCUUCUGUGUGUAUGAUUGUCUCAUUGGUUGAUAAAUAAAGUACUGUUGCCCAAUAGGAAAACAAGAUAGGUGGGACUAGGAGUCAAGGAGGAUUCUGGGAAAGGUAGGAGAAAGUGCAGAGUCACCAUGUGAGGCCAGGAAGACAGGACGCUUCCGCUGGCAUCCGAUAAGAUGGUGGCAGACGGAACUUUCGUGGCCGGGCAGAAAGCACCCAUGUGGCAGCAGGGCUCCGGUGGCUCUGGAGUAAAGACUUAUUGUUACAGGUGUGUCGUGAGAAUUCGUGCUACACGAUCUGACAGUCUGGGCAGUGGAGGAGAGGAUGGCCUAGAAGCCCUUCCCCUAGAAUGAGAUUGAUGACUACUCUCUAUGCUAUGGAGAGUCCUCAUCCAGUGGCUAAUGGAAGCAGAGACACAGAAAUACACUGAGCUGAAAUCUGGAACCUAGUUGAAGAGAGGGAGGAAUGAAGAACGAAGGGGUCUGUACCAGGUUGGAGAAACCCACAGAAACAGUUGGCCUGAAAAAGGGAAAGCAUAUCGACCCCAGACGCUCUUUGGGAGGCCAGUACGGGACUAAUCCAGCCCCCUGAUCAUGGAUGCCAAUGGGGAGGCCCCUGCACUCCUGGGAGCCUCCGGAGGUGGACUGGCGUUUUGCCCUGGUGUGUGUGGGGGACUUCGAGAGCCCAUCCCACUUGAAGGGAUGCACUCUGUCUCUGAACACAUGGGGAGGGACCUAGGCCCAGCACAGGAAGAUUUGGUGGACUUGGUGGAGCCCCGGUUGGGGGCCCUACCCUGCCUGGGG